rnacentral:rRNA from 1 species
UACGAAGGGGGCUAGCGUUGCUCGGAAUUACUGGGCGGAAAGCGCACGUAGGCGGAUUGUUAAGGCGGGGGUGAAAUCCUGGAGCUCAACUCCAGAACUGCCUUCGAUACUGGCGAUCUCGAGUUCGGGAGAGGUGAGUGGAACUGCGAGUGUAGAGGUGAAAUUCGUAGAUAUUCGCAAGAACACCAGUGGCGAAGGCGGCUCACUGGCCCGAUACUGACGCUGAGGUGCGAAAGCGUGGGGAGCAAACAGG